GGCAUGUGUAGAAAGGUCACCGCACCUGUAGUCCCAGCUACUAGGGAGGCUGAGGCAGGAGGAUCGCUUGAGCCCAGGAGUUCUGGGCUGCAGUGCGCUAUGCCGAUAGGGUGUCCGCACUAAGUUCGGCACCAAUAUGGUGACCUCCCGAGGCGGGGCACCACCAGGUUGCCUAAGGAGGGGUGAACCGGCCCCGGUUGGAAAUGGAGCAGGUCAAAACUCCUGUGCUGAUCAAUAGAUCCUUUUGACAAGGGAGUCACACUCGCAGAAUUGCUGGUUUAGAUUAAGUGCAUGUCUAA
rnacentral:SRP_RNA from 1 species